UAUUUUGGACUAUGGGGGCGACCCUGAUCGAGCCAUCCCGCGUGUGUGAAGAAGGUCUUCGGAUUGUAAAGCACUUUAAGUUGGGAGGAAGGGCUGUAGGUUAAUACUCUGAGGUUGUGACGUUACUAACAGAAUAAGCACCGGCUAUCUCUGUGCCAGCAGCCGCGGUAAUGCAGAGGGUGCAAGCGUUAAUCGGAAUUACUGGGCGUAAAGCGCGCGUAGGUGGUUCAGUAAGAUGGGUGUGAAAGCCCCGGGCUUAACCUGGGAACUGCUUUCAUAACUGCUGAGCUAGAGUACGGUAGAGGGAAGUGGAAUUUCCUGUGUAGCGGUGAAAUGCGUAGAUAUAGGAAGGAACACCAGUGGCGAAGGCGACUACCUGGACUGAUACUGACACUGAGGUGCGAAAGCGUGGGGAGCAAAC
rnacentral:rRNA from 1 species